GGAGGGAUGGCCGAGUGGUUGAAGGCGGCGGUCUUGAAAACCGCUGACGGGGAAACUCGUCCGGGGGUUCAAAUCCCUCUCCCUCCGCCA
rnacentral:tRNA from 2 species